GUUGUUGUCGCCUGCCGUCCCGGCUACGCCCGGGAGUUGCUUCUCCAAAACGGGAGCCAUCUUCUCUCUGUGCGAGGCUACGAGCACAAAGGCGAGGCCUUGUUGCGCCGCCCUAGUCCAAGUGGCCAAAGGUGGUGGUGGUGGUGGGGGGGGAUCACUGACCAGCCCCAGUUAAUUCCAAGGGGCUUUGAACACAUCACUCUGGACAUUGUAGGGAAACGAGAGAAAAAGCCGCAAGCACUUAUCCUCACAAGGGUCACAGGACUACUGGACCCUACCCCAUCUGUCAACGGACAGGAGGCAGGGUGCACCCUGAACUGGUUGCAAGUCAAUUGGAGGGCACAUGGAGACAAUCACACCUAGGUUUCCAAUGAAUGCAAGUUUUUGGGACGUGGGAGGAAACUGGAGUGCCCGGAGAAAACCCACACAGGCACUGGAAGAACAUGCAAACUCCACACAGGCAGGGUGGGGAUUUGAAUCUUGGUCCUCAGUACUGUGAGGCUAAUGAUAUAAACAGUUGGCCCACCAUGCCGCCAAUUCUCAUUUCAUUUGAAUAUCAUUAUAUUGAAAGUGAAUUUCCCUGCACCCUUAGCAUUUGGACAGUAGGAAAAAAAAGAUGGUUAUGGAAGGGGACCUUUAAGGGAAUUUCUGAGACGUUAGCAUGCAUUUUGACUCCUAUGUUUGUGUGAGCAAAGUGGCAGAGAAAGUUUGUGGUUCAACUCCUGGGAUUGCAUUCCAGAACAUUUGCAUCAUGUGAAACUCGUCUCUCGCUCCUGCCCAUUUGUCACUGCCGAGCUAUGAUUUAUUCCAGCAAGGAAAACAUGCUAAAUUGAUCUUGUUUUCUUUUUCCCACAAACUGAAUCUUUGUUCCUCCGGUGACACAAAAAUCAACAGCACAAUGAAAAGUCCAAGACCCAAAGCUAACAAGAUUGUGUAGAUGAUUUGGUUUAGGUUUUCAAUAUUCAAAUUAAGGUCACAUUGACUUGAUUUGUUUCUGUGUGGAGGAAAAAACUCCAGAGUGAAAACAGUUUUAAAAUACAUUUGUGCAUUAUUAAUUUCUCUCUCAUUUUUAAGUUUGCAUAACCGUGUAUUGUGCUGUGUUUACAGGAGAGGGUGCUGCGUGUCUAUAUAAAAAUAUUCCCUGACUGCUUUUAUCAAUAGAAAAUGUCGCAACAGGUUCAUAAAUCUCGCAAUGACAUAUAAAUACUUUCAAAACAAAUAUUUUACAAGCUAUGAAUAAGACUCAUAUCAUUUAACCUUUUCUGUAGGUUCAAUGUAGAGAAGUAGAGAGAGGGAAAAGUAGAGAUUUCACUGACAUGAUUCCUCCCGACGAGGUUCAGUUUUUGAAGAUUGAGUUUGAGUUCCAGAAAUGGUGUGUCACAUUUAGCUUCAAAACGUGUUGAAAAAACUGCUAUGGAUUUUCGAGUAACUUGUCUG